rnacentral:rRNA from 1 species
AGUGAACGCUGGCGGUAGGCCUAACACAUGCAAGUCGAACGGCAGCACAGUAAGAGCUUGCUCUUACGGGUGGCGAGUGGCGGACGGGUGAGGAAUACAUCGGUAUCUACUUUUUCGUGGGGGAUAACGUAGGGAAACUUACGCUAAUACCGCAUACGACCUACGGGUGAAAGCAGGGGAUCUUCGGACCUUGCGCGAUUGAAUGAGCCGAUGUCGGAUUAGCUAGUUGGCGGGGUAAAGGCCCACCCAGGCGACGAUCCGUAGCUGGUCUGAGAGGAUGAUCAGCCACACUGGAACUGAGACACGGUCCAGACUCCUACGGGAGGCAGCAGUGGGGAAUAUUGGACAAUGGGCGCAAGCCUGAUCCAGCCAUACCGCGUGGGUGAAGAAGGCCUUCGGGUUGUAAAGCCCUUUUGUUGGGAAAGAAAAGCAGCAGGUUAAUACCCCGCUGUUCUGACGGUACCCAAAGAAUAAGCACCGGCUAACUUCGUG